AUGUAUAACUUCACUUGUUUAUAUUUCAGUAAAAUCAUUGUCCAUACUUUAUUUGUAAAACUUGUCACUGUCACUUUAUUUUUUAGAUGCUUUUAUUUUGAAAAGUACGUUUUAUUUUGGUACUCAUGGCACCGGCACAUUUCUGCAGACUCGCGCUACUUUCCUCAGUUAGCUUCAGGCCCCACUGAGGAGAAGUGUGAAGUUAGAAAGCUGAUGAAGCCAUUUCCUGCUUUAAUUAUUAUAUUCUGUUUUGCACAGGUAUGUGGGUAUUCUUUUUGUAUUUUGUAACUGUAAAUUGUAUUGUUUGUUAUGUAAGUGUAAAUUAAUGGUUAUAUUUGUGUAUAUUGGUUUACAAGGAAAAACUGGUUUGCCACCAUGGAUAGAUGUAUAUCUGUUAAUUGUAUUAUUUAGAACUCUGUAUACUUUCCUGAGUUAGCUUCAGGCCCCACUGAGGAGAAGUGUGAAGUUAGAAAGCUGAUGAAGCCAUUUCCUGCUUUAAUUAUUAUAUUCUGUUUUGCACAGAGAAUAAAUCCUGGUUGGCAAGAAAGAAGUCGUUCUCAUUUACACAACAUAACACAACGCAGAGAUCACAUGUGGCGUCAAACCAGACCGGUUACACUUGGUAAGAGGAACGGACCCGUGGCUUUGCUGAAAAAACGCUGAAAAACGGCGGGGUUGCUGCUGAGGGUAUUUUCUCAUACCAUUGUAUUGUGCAUCAACAAGCCUUGUUUGCUAAGUUUAAAUGUCUGAAUGAAGUGAUGGCAAAUGUAAUCGAAGUGGUUAAUUAUAUCAGGGCCCGUGCAAGAAACCACUUCAAUUUUAAACUGCUGUGUGAGGAGUUUGACACUCACUAUGGAGAUUUGGUGUUACACACCGAGUUCAGAUGGCUGUUUAAAGGACGUAUGCUUGCACAUUUCAUGUCCCAGGCAGACAGCAGUGGAUCAUAACCAGGCUGCAGUUUGCACACGCUAUUUGUUGUUGUUUAUAUAACGCAGUCUGUUCUUCUUCUCUGUCUUCCGGUUGUUGCCUAUUUUUAAUGACGAAUACAUACUACCGCCGCCUGCUGGUAAGGAGAGUUAUUGCCACUCACGCACUGAAGUCUUUGCGGUGUGUUCCCGUGCGACACAUGGCCAAGACGCAGGAGAACACCGCGACGCAACAGCCGACGUCGGCGUCGGCGAGUCCUCUGGUGACUGCUUGGUGUGUCAGGGCCUUUAUCUGUUGUUAUGGGAAGUGAUGAUCAGUAAACAUGCUGUCUGUUAUCUGUUGUUAUGGGUAGUGAUGAUCAGCAAUGUGUGUUUUGUGGUUGCAGUGAAAAUAAUAAAUCACAGUUAUUGCACUGUA